rnacentral:miRNA from 1 species
UUCCUUCCGGUCGAUGAGGGUGUUUUACCUCAUCGACCGGAAGGAAUCCCUUCCGGCCGAUGAGGUGUAACACCCUCAUCGGCCGGAAGGGAUUCCUUCCGGUCGAUGAGGUAAAACACCCCCAUCGACCGGAAGGAA